AUGACCAUAGAUCGAACCUAUCCUAUUUUUACAGUGCGAUGGCUGGCUAUUCACGGACUAGCUGUACCUACUGUUUUUUUUCUUGGGAUCAAUAUCAGCAAUGCAGUUCAUCCAACGAUAAAACAAAUUCCAACUGUAAGAGACUAUGAUCCAACUACUCGAUACAACGAUCUAUUAGAUCGCGUCCUUAGACACCGCGAUGCAAUCAUAUCCCACCUUAACUGGGUAUGUAUAUUUCUAGGUUUUCACAGUUUUUGCUUGUACAUUCAUAAUGAUACCAUGAGUGCUUUAGGCCAUCCACAAGAUAUGUUUUCGGAUACUGCCAUACAAUUACAACUCUGCUUCACCGCUUACACCACACUCUAUUGGUUCGCCUUGUGGUGCCUUUCGAUCAAGGUCUACGGCUUCUAUGAGGAAGGCGGCGCAAAGGAGGCUCGAGGGCUUGUUAAGGAAGGUGGCUAG
rnacentral:rRNA from 1 species